rnacentral:rRNA from 1 species
GCAAGUCGGACGAUGAAGCCCUUCGGGGUGGAUUAGUGGCGAACGGGUGAGUAACACGUGAGCAACCUGCCCUUGACUCUGGGAUAAGCCUGGGAAACUGGGUCUAAUACCGGAUAGUACCCCUUGCCGCAUGGUGGGGGGUGGAAAGCCUUGUGCGGUCUUGGAUGGGCUCGCGGCCUAUCAGCUUGUUGGUGGGGUGAUGGCCUACCAAGGCGACGACGGGUAGCCGGCCUGAGAGGGUGACCGGCCACACUGGGACUGAGACACGGCCCAGACUCCUACGGGAGGCAGCAGUGGGGAAUAUUGCACAAUGGGCGGAAGCCUGAUGCAGCGACGCCGCGUGGGGGAUGACGGCCUUCGGGUUGUAAACCCCUUUCGGCAGGGAACAAGCCGCUUCGGUGGUGAGGGUACCUGCGGAAGAAGCGCCGGCUAACUACGUGCCAGCAGCCGCGGUAAUACGUAGGGCGCGAGCGUUAUCCGGAAUUAUUGGGCGUAAAGAGCUCGUAGGCGGUUUGUCGCGUCUGCUGUGAAAGCCCGGGGCUCAACCCCGGGUCUGCAGUGGGUACGGGCAGGCUGGAGUGCAGUAGGGGAGACUGGAAUUCCUGGUGUAGCGGUGAAAUGCGCAGAUAUCAGGAGGAACACCGAUGGCGAAGGCAGGUCUCUGG